GACGAACUGUCCUAACGUUGUUCGGAAUCACUGGGCUUAAAGGGCGCGUAGGCGGUCCAUCAAGUCAGGGGUGAAAUCCUGCAGCUUAACUGUAGAAGUGCCUCUGGUACUGAUGGUCUGGAGGGAAAUAGGGGUGUGCGGAACUUCCAGUGGAGCGGUGAAAUGCGCAGAUAUCGGGAGGAACACCAAUGGCGAAGGCAGCUCGCUGGGACGUUACUGACGCUGAGACGCGAAAGCGUGGGGAGCAAACAGG
rnacentral:rRNA from 1 species